rnacentral:lncRNA from 1 species
AAAGCUUUGGUGCCAGAGACUGAUCCACUGCUUCUCAAGCCGUCUCACCUUCUUCCUGGUCGUCUAGUGAGUCAUGUUUCCCAGUCUCCCUUGCAGUUAGUUGUGAUUGCAUCACUGAGUUGUGGCCAAAGUAUAUGAAGAGAAGUGACAGAUGCCAUGCCCAUGUCUGGACUGCUAAACCCUUGCAUCUGAUCUUCCACUUCCUUUCUCUCUUUCCUCAUCUGCCAGCAGGUGUUGAAGAUGGCACAGUCCCCAUCAAUCCAGGACCCAACCUCAUUCCACUAGUGACUAGACUGCCAGUCAGCAAGAAAUAAGCAUCUGGCACUUUAAGCCACUGGGAUUUCAGGGCUGGGAAGAAAAAUCCAUCAGAGUAAGAGAUGGCAGUGGUUGGAAAAAGUAAAGACAUUCUCUACUUGUACCCUCUGUGGAGUUCAGACUUUCCAUAAAUCAGGCACUGUGUCAAUGAGGAUACCCAGGAGAUGAAUGGAAUCUACUGUCUUUCCCACGCUUGUCAAGGCAUCUCAUCUGAGCAGUUACCAACAUCAGCACAGUGGGGCUGGUCUGCCCCAUCUCCAUCUGACCCGCCCAGCUUGCCCAGUGAUGCAUCACACCGCAAUAGUGGGACAUUUUUUUUCUAACAAUGGUUCUACUCCCCUGGUGUAAAAGCAAAUAAACGGGAAUGGGGUAUAACUUGAUACUAAAUUCUGUGAAAAUAAUCCAUUUGCACUGCACAUAGUUAAUGUGUGGUGCUAACUUGCUACUCUUCAUCCAAGCAGACAGAAGCAGUUGUGCCCUCAUAUAUAGAGGUGCCAGGCAGUCGGGGACAUGAUGAGGAAGUGUUUCUGAAAUCUCUUGUCAAAAGCAUUCAACAGGAAUGCUAAGAAUAAUGGCAAUGAAACACCACCACACCAA